GGGGAUGUCAAGGUUUCGACGGGGAUCGUUGAGAUUUGGAGAGCCAUCCGCAGUUUCAGGGCUGCGUCAUCAACCUGAGAAUAAAUAUAAACGCUAACAAUACAAGCGAUUACGCUUACGCAGCUUAAUUAAGCUGCAUGUUCUGCCACAGGUGCCCGCGCCUGUGAACAGGGCAUCGAUUAAGGCGGGGAACUUUUUCUUCAAAGCUUUGAGAAGAUAAAAGAAAUUGGAUGAAGCUACCAAGGUGUGACCCUGUCGGCAGGGGAACACGGAGGAAAAUGCAAAAUACCGACUAUGAUGGUAGCGCUUCGGAUGGAUGGAUCUUCGGACAUGGGUUCGAUUCCCAUCAUCUCCAU
rnacentral:tmRNA from 1 species